CAGUCGCCGCGGUAAAACAGAGGGUGCAAGCGUUAAUCGGAAUUACUGGGUGUAAAGCGCGCGUAGGUGGUUCGCCAAGUUGGAUGUGAAAUCCCCGGGCUCAACCUGGGCACUGCAUCCAAAACUGGCGAGCUAGAGUAUGGUAGAGGGUGGUGGAAUUUCCUGUGUAGCGGUGAAAUGCGUAGAUAUAGGAAGGAACAUCAGUGGCGAAGGCGACCACCUGGACUGAUACUGACACUGAGGUGCGAAAGCGUGGGGAGCAAACAGGAUUAGAUACCCCAGUAGUCCCUGUCUCUUAUAA
rnacentral:rRNA from 1 species